AGUAGUAAGAAGCUGCAAUACGGGCAAGGGUCGGCUUUAAUCCAAAAAUGGCCCGCCAUCGGUGUAGAGUGGAAUUCUGUGAUGAUCGAUGUGCAGAUGUUGUGAUAGUCAGGUAAUAACUGCGGAGCUGAGAAAAAAGGUCUUGAAUUGGUGAGGACAAAGCGGAAAAUAAGGCUGGUUCGUCAUCAUGUUGCCGAGAUAGAGCAUCCGCCAGUCGAUUAGAGUAUGCAGAAUUUCCGACCGAUGAGAUACUGAUGCCAUUUCUUGACUGCUAAAUUAGGCGAGAAGGUGACCAUGUUGUGUGAGAACAGCUCCGAUUUCUAUGGUGGAAACAAUGGUUUCAACAUCAAAGGUGGCAGAAAAGUCGAGCAGCUUGAGGACUGGAGUUUUUAUCAUUGCUUGUUUUAAAGUUGUAAAUGCCGCUUGAGCCGCUUCAUGCCAUGUAAAAUUAUUCUGUUUAAGUAGGUCGUAGGUCGGUGAGAGGAGCGGCAAGAGAGGCAUAAUUUUUGACAAAUUUGCGGUAAAAUCCGGUGAGCCUCAAGAAACCUCUGAGUGCCGUGAGAGAACGAAGCCGUGGCCAAUCCACCAUGGCCUAGAUUUUAUCUGGAUCUGGUUGAACCCCAUCAGUCGAGAUGAUAUGCCCCAAAUAACUAACAGAAUUAACUCCAAAAUAACAUUUUGACAACGUAGCAAAGAAUUGAUUAGCUGCUAAUAGGCCCAACACUACUUUUAAAUGAAUUAAAUGAUCAUCCAGAUUUGCACUAUAAAUAAGAAUGUCAUAAAAAAACAAGAACGAACCGUCGGAUGUGAGGCCUAAGUAAAUCACUCAUGGCUGAUUGGAAUAUCGAUGGUGCAUUGAAGAGCCUAAACGAUACGACUAGAAAUUCACAAUGCCCAUCGAAAGUGCGGAAAGCCGUCUUGUGGGUGUCGUUUGUGGGCACCCUGAUUUGAUGGUAUCCAGAGCGUAAAUUGAUUUUAUAAAAAUCGUGGCACCUCCGAGUUCAUCUAGUAAUUCAUCAAUCAUUGGUGUGGGAAACCUGUCGGGAAUAGUGAUAGCAUUCAAAGCCCUAUAGUCCACAAAGAACCUCCAAUUACCAUCUUUUUUUCGAACUAAGAGCACUAGGGACGAGAAGU